UCCUGGUUAACCCAGGCAGUCUCACUAGAGUUCCCACCAUUACGUGUUGGCAACUAGUGAUAAGGGUUGCGCUCGUUGCUGGACUUAACCAAACACCUCACGGCACGAGCUGACGACAGCCAUGCAGCACCUGUGCAGCGGUCCCGAAGGAAGAUAGCAUUUCUGCUACUGUCCACUGCAUGUCAAGCCUGGGUAAGGUUCUUCGCGUUGCAUCGAAUUAAACCACAUGCUCCACUGCUUGUGCGGGUCCCCGUCAAUUCUUUUGAGUUUCACCCUUGCGAGCGUACUCCCCAGGCGGUAUACUUAUCGCGUUAGCUACGGCACAACCAGGGUUGAGUCCGGUUACACCAAGUAUACAUAGUUUACAGUAAGGACUAC
rnacentral:misc_RNA from 1 species